rnacentral:rRNA from 1 species
AGAGUUUGAUCCUGGCUCAGAAUGAACGUUGGCGGCGUGGAUUAGGCAUGCAAGUCGUGCGAGAAACUUUUUUUGCUUGCAUUAGAAGUGGACAGCGGCGCAAGGGAGAGUAACGCGUGGAUAUCUGCCCCUAGAUCCGGGAUAGCUGCGGGAAACUGCAGGUAAUACUGGAUAAUGUCUCCGGACCAAAGGUGUGAUUCCGUCUAGGGAUGAGUCCGCGUCCUACUAGCUUGUUGGUGGGGUAAUGGCCUACCAAGGCAAUGAUGGGUAGCGGGUGUGAGAGCAUGGCCCGUCUCACUGGGACUGAGACACUGCCCAGACACCUACGGGUGGCUGCAGUCGAGAAUCUUCCGCAAUGGACGAAAGUCUGACGGAGCGACGCCGCGUGCGGGAUGAAGGCCCUCGGGUUGUAAACCGCUGUCAGUUGGGAGGAAAUGCUAUAGGGUUCUCUCUAUAGUUUGACCGAUCUUCAGAGGAAGUCCGGGCUAAGUUCGUGCCAGCAGCCGCGGUAAGACGAACCGGACGAACGUUAUUCGGAAUCACUGGGCUUAAAGAGUGCGUAGGCGGCUUGGUAGGUUGGGUGUGAAAUCCCACAGCUCAACUGUGGAACUGCGCUCAAAACCACCAAGCUUGAGGAAGGCAGAGGUGAGCGGAACUGAUGGUGGAGCGGUGAAAUGCGUUGAUAUCAUCAGGAACACCGGUGGCGAAGGCGGCUCACUGGGCCUUUUCUGACGCUGAGGCACGAAAGCUAGGGUAGCGAACAGGAUUAGAUACCCUGGUAGUCCUAGCUGUAAACGAUGAGCACUUGAUCGAGGGGACCUCCACAUCCUCUCGGUCGUAGC